GCUGAUAUAGUUUAACGGCUAAAACAUAUCAUUCAUGACGAUAAGACAAAGGUUCGAUUCCUUUUUUCGGCU
rnacentral:tRNA from 1 species